rnacentral:lncRNA from 1 species
CCUCCCUUUGCACCGCCCUCCCGCCCGUCCCAGAGCGGUGGAGGCCCGCCCUUUUCAUCUACAGCCUAUCGCAGAGGACGUUGCCGUUGGCGCUGACCAAUAGGAGUGGUGGCCGUCACGGCAAGCCCCGCCCCGCGCCCUACGUCGGGGUAAGUGGGGUCCCUCAGCCCCGCGCUGAUCAUAGGCCAGGUGGCGCUGUGGCGCGCGGCGGGGCUGUGUGCGCUGAGGCUGCUGAGUGGCGGGCCGAAUCAGGAUGUUGACCGUGGCCACAUCCACGUCCCAGAGCUUCUUCACAGUCUGUUUGAUCUGGUGCUUGUUGGCUUUAACAUCGACAGUGAAUACAAGCGUGCUGUUGUCUUCUAUCUUCUUCACGGCUGACUCAGUGGUCAGUGGAAACUUGAUGAUAGCAUGGUGGUCAAGCUUGUUUCUCCGGGGGGUGCUCAUCCCAGGAUAUCUGGACUGGAGUCGCAGUGUCUUGGGACGCUGGAAGAUAUUAUUUCCCACUGAUGCUUUUCUGAAAGCUCCUGCAAUCAGCUACAGGUCAGAAUGCUUGUCUCCAACACAGGACUCCCUCUGAGAGUCACCUGUCUGCUCACCGAGAGAAAUGCGUAUCUGAGUGCCGCAUCGGGAGAGGGUAACCAGCAACUCAAAAGAAUGAAACCAUUUGUCUCUUACCUACCUAUGACCUGGAAGCUCCCUGUCUGGCCUUCUCUUCAAGUUGUCUCACCUUUCUGGAGUGAACCAAGAUGGAGUUUCACUCUUGCUGCCCAGGCUGGAGUGCAGUGGCACAAUCUCGGUUCACUGCAACCUCCUCCUCUCAAGUUCAAGCGAUUCUCCCGCCUCACCCUCCUGAGUAGCUGGGAUUACAGGCAUGC